rnacentral:rRNA from 1 species
GCAGUAGCCGCGGUAAUACGUAGGUGGCAAGCGUUGUCCGGAAUUAUUGGGCGUAAAGGGCUCGCAAGCGGUUUCUUAAGUCUGAUGUGAAAGCCCCCGGCUCAACCGGGGAGGGUCAUUGGAAACUGGGAAACUUGAGUGCAGAAGAGGAGAGUGGAAUCCCACGUGUAGCGGUGAAAUGCGUAGAGAUGUGGAGGAACACCAGUGGCGAAGGCGACUCUCUGGUCUGUAACUGACGCUGAGGAGCGAAAGCGUGGGGAGCGAACAGGAUUAGAUACCCCGGUAGUCCCUGUCUCUUAUAC